GCCUUCUCAAGGUCAUAGCAAGUCAGGGAUACAGCGGGCUCAACAUCUCAGGAGAAACAAUUAUCAAAAUAAGAUAGUCUUUCUCCCCUGUUUUGAGUAGCAGUGUGAGUUCAGGCACAAUGGAACAUUCUCCAUUCCCAACACUCAGAUCUUGCAGCCCAGGAACAGCAAAGCAGAUGGCCUGAGCAGCAGCCGAAACCCACUGCAGCAGGUGCUGGGAAGGACUUUUUCCAAAAUGUCUUUCAAGGCAGCAUCCAUGGGACACCUCAGCAGAUGGACCAGAGCAGCUGCUCCCAAUUUGAGCCACUUUGGAUGAGAACUGGAAGCAGACCUAUCAGAAAGAAAAAUUAUUCUUUCUUAUUCUCAGCGUCUGCUUUAGAACGAGAUCUCUAGAGCACUGAGGGUCAGCUAAAAAAUACACGUUUUAGAGAUGAUUUUUUUUUAAAGAAGCUUUUGAAUGCUUUUGAGAUUUACUCAUACUCAGGAAAAGUAUAAGCUCUGGGGCACAAAAGAAAUCAGAAAUGGCAGAGUCUGUAAGACUUGCAAAGAUGAUGUAAUCAUUUUCAA